rnacentral:rRNA from 1 species
GAUGAACGCUGGCGGCGUGCCUAAUACAUGCAAGUCGAGCGGAUGAACGAGGAUCUUUCUUCUCUUCUGUGAGCGGCGGACGGGUGAGUAACACGUAGCUAACCUGCCUUGGAGGAUGGGAUAACUACUGGAAACCUGAUCUAAUACCGGAUAAGAUUUUGAAACUCAUGGUUCUUAGGUGAAAGCGGUAUUUGCUGUCCCUCAUACGAAUUAGCUAGUUGGUUAGGUAAUGGGCUACCAAGGCGACGAUCCAUGGCGGGCCUGAGAGGGUGACCUGCCACACUGGAACUGAGACACGGUCCAGACUCCUACGGGAGGCAGCAGUGGGGAAUAUUGGACAAUGGGCGAAAGCCUGAUGGAGCAACGCCGCGUGAGUGAUGAAGGUCUUCGGAUGGUAAAACCCUUUUAUUUGGGAGGAAGGGAUGUAGAAGUAAACGUUCACAUUUUGACGGUACCUAAACAGAAAGCAACGGCUAACUACGUG